GUGGGGAAUAUUCACAAUGGGCGCAAGCCUGAUGCAGCAACGCCGCGUGAGGGACGACGGCCUUCGGGUUGUAAACCUCUUUUAGCAGGGAAGAAGCGAAAGUGACGGUACCUACAGAAAAAGCACCGGCUAACUACGUGCCAGCAGCCGCGGUAAUACGUAGGGUGCAAGCGUUGUCCGGAAUUAUUGGGCGUAAAGAGCUCGUAGGCGGUUUGUCGCGUCUGCUGUGAAAACCCGAGGCUCAACCUCGGGCCUGCAGGGGGUACGGGCAGACUAGAGUGCGGUAGGGGAGAUUGGAAUUCCUGGUGUAGCGGUGGAAUGCGUAGAUAUCAGGAGGAACACCGAUGGCGAAGGCAGAUCUCUGGGCCGUAACUGACGCUGAGGAGCGAAAGCGUGGGGAGCGAACAGGAUUAGAAACCCGAGUAGUCC
rnacentral:rRNA from 1 species